rnacentral:misc_RNA from 1 species
GAUGAAGAACGCAGCGAAAUGCGAUAAGUAGUGUGAAUUGCAGAAUUCAGUGAAUCAUCGAAUCUUUGAACGCACAUUGCGCCCCUUGGUAUUCCAUGGGGCAUGCCUGUUCGAGCGUCAUUUGUACCUUCAAGCUCUGCUUGGUGUUGGGUGUUUGUCUCGCCUCUGCGUGUAGACUCGCCUCAGAACAAUUGGCAGCCGGCGUAUUGAUUUCGGAGCGCAGUACAUCUCGCGCUUUGCACUCAUAACGACGACGUCCAAAAGUACAUUUUUACACUCUUGACCUCGGAUCAGGUAGGGAUACCCGCUGAACUUAAGCAUAUCAAUAAGCGGAGGA